rnacentral:rRNA from 2 species
CGGCCCAGACUCCUACGGGAGGCAGCAGUAGGGAAUCUUCCACAAUGGACGCAAGUCUGAUGGAGCAACGCCGCGUGAGUGAAGAAGGUCUUCGGAUCGUAAAACUCUGUUGUUAGAGAAGAACACGAGUGAGAGUAACUGUUCAUUCGAUGACGGUAUCUAACCAGCAAGUCACGGCUAACUACGUGCCAGCAGCCGCGGUAAUACGUAGGUGGCAAGCGUUGUCCGGAUUUAUUGGGCGUAAAGGGAACGCAGGCGGUCUUUUAAGUCUGAUGUGAAAGCCUUCGGCUUAACCGGAGUAGUGCAUUGGAAACUGGAAGACUUGAGUGCAGAAGAGGAGAGUGGAACUCCAUGUGUAGCGGUGAAAUGCGUAGAUAUAUGGAAGAACACCAGUGGCGAAAGCGGCUCUCUGGUCUGUAACUGACGCUGA